rnacentral:rRNA from 1 species
UACGAAGGAUGCAAGCGUUAUCCGGAUUUAUUGGGUUUAAAGGGAGCGUAGGCGGUCUUAUAAGUCAGUGGUGGAAUCUCGUUGCUUAACAACGAACGUGCCAUUGAUACUGUAGGACUUGAGUACAGAUGCCGUUGGCGGAAUGUGUCAUGUAGCGGUGAAAUGCAUAGAUAUGACACAGAACACCGAUUGCGAAGGCAGCUGACGAAACUGUAACUGACGCUGAGGCUCGAAAGCGUGGGGAUCAAACAGGAUUAGAAACCCUGGUAGU